rnacentral:rRNA from 1 species
UACGUAGGGUGCGAGCGUUAAUCGGAAUUACUGGGCGUAAAGCGUGCGCAGGCGGUUUUGUAAGCCAGAUGUGAAAGCCCCGGGCUUAACCUGGGAAUGGCAUUUGGGACUGCAAGGCUUGAGUGCGGCAGAGGAGACUGGAAUUCCUGGUGUAGCAGUGAAAUGCGCAGAUAUCAGGAGGAACACCGGUGGCGAAGGCGGUUCUCUGGGCAUUACCUGACGCUGAGGAGCGAAAGCGUGGGGAGCAAACAGG